ACGACAAAGGCUGUGGUUGCAGCUUUAGAAUGCUUUGUGAAUAAUGUAAAACUUAUGUUACACAAAAAUAAUUAAUAAAACUACCAUAGGGAAAAAAAUUUUACAUGUUUAUUCAUUUAUUUUAGCUUCCUUUGCUUUUAACAACCAUAGAUUGUAAAUAGUUCACUGCACAGAGCAUGGGUUAGGCUGAUAAAUUCAUGGGUUUGUCAUAGGGAAAAUAUUAAACUUUAUGCCUUGUCAUAGAUUAAUAGGAAAACCAUAUUAAUACUAUGCAGAAAAUUUAUAUAAUUUCAGAGGCAUGCUUAGACGAAAAACAGAAUAAAGUAAGAGUUUACAUGGGAAAAGAGGAGCAAUACAAUGUUGAGACAUCUUGAAACUCCACUAUGGUAAAAGAGAACCCCAUAUUAUACUGGGUAUAUAUAUGGUAGUACAUACAUUCUUAAAAGAAAAGGCAUUAAAUCUUCAUAUGUUUUCCAUAUGAUUUAACUCCCUAAAUACAGAACUGUUUGUUAUCCAAGAUAAUUACCCUAGGUUCUUUGUAUAUUUAGAGAAAUAGACAUUUUUUGAAGGUGUUUUUCACUCAGUCUCAAAUUUAAAGAUGAAAUUGUCUUCUGCAUUUUUGUGGAAUAAUCUGCCCCAAUAAGGUCAAUCUCACAUUUUGCGUGGACCUGUGGGUUGAGUGAUGAUCUGUUCUGGACAUAUAUUUUUUGCACAAGACAUUAGAAAGUGUUAAAUAAGUCAGUGGUAAAGAACAAUAACAAACCACAGGGAAUUGUUUUUUUUCUAGAUGCAGGAACAAAGAAUUAGUCCUUGUUUGUAUAUAGAUACCUUAAAAAUUGCAAAUGACUCAGAAGACAAAAGAACAUCAUAUUUUCUAUUGCAAAGACCUCAAUGGAAAAGACCUCAAUGUGGCAAAAACUGAAUUCCAUAUGACUGAAAAAUAUAGCUCAGUAUUUCCUAAAUUAAGAUGCAUGUUUUACACAUAAUUUCUCUGUAAAGACUUCUCAUUUUUCUUUUUGGAAUUCAUAAGCAUAGCAUAAUAGCUUUUUCUUUUUUAGUCACUUUGAAGUAAUACAUGGUCCAGCAUGUAUUUUAUCUCUAUUUCUUUCUACUCUAUCUCUGUGAUAUUUAAUAUUUUCAUCUCUUGCUUUCAACAUUGCUGUUCUAGGAGUACUAUCACGCUAAGCUUCAUCAGUUGAAGUAAUAAUCAUAUAAUCAGCAAUUUUAUCUCCUCUGGAAGUAUCGUCAAGUGCCUCAUAACUCUCUUUCUGCAAUAUUUCACUGGCAUAUUUAAUCUCAAAUGUUAAUCUAGAAAACUGAUAAUAUCCUCCUGGAGAUUUAGAGGUACCUAAAAAGAGAUGUACCUAUCUAAUUUCACAUACCAGGCUCCAUCUUUCUUAUCUGAAAUUGUAACAAGUUGCUCAAUUUUUAAUUGAUGUCACAAAUCUUCUGAUGUCAAUCCUGAGCAGUGGUAAUAGGUAUGGUGCCAUUUAACCUUCUGGUGUUAAACAUACUGAGUCUUUCUUUGUUCUUUGCUUUUUACUACUCUAGUCAAUGUGCUGAAGCAUUCUCUUAUAAUAUCAACUUUCCCUCUUCUUUACUGGCUAAGGCCUCCUGGUUGCCCCAGCAUGACUGAUAUGACAACUGAGGACACAGAAUAAACUAUAACUAUGCAAGAGUAUAGCGACUCUGUGGAGCUCAAUAUUGUUAACUAUCCGCAUUUCACUCUUUAUUAAGAAUUUACCUUUGCUCUCCCUCA